rnacentral:lncRNA from 1 species
GUGGCUCAUGAGCAGCACUCUUGGGACAUCCCAGCACGGCCUCUGCAGGGCACUGGUCUGCCCCCUUGAUGGCUGGCUCCCAUGGUGGCCUCGACUGGAACACCCCCAAGGGGCCUGAGCAGCAGUGAGCUGAGGAGGGGUGCCCCCGGCCAGAGGCACGUCCACAGCUCUGCUGCCAGGAGCUGAGGCGGACACCAACAGAGAACACGAGGGGCUGAGGAGAGGGCUCCUCUCUAUGCCCCCAGCAGCCUGUCCCUCAGGAAAGGACACCACGCACGGCCCUGUCCCUCUUCCCAAGGACCAUCACGUCCUGUGAACUCUGCUGCCCAGCCCUGCCUGCCCCGGGCCCUGCUUAACCUCCUCGCCUUCCCACAGCUCAGAGCCGAGUCCACACCUGGCUUAGGUGACCUCCGAGCCCCCCUGCCCGGUCCAGGACAGAGCCUCUAAUGGCCUGUGAAGAGUGGGCGUGUGAAGGGAGCCCCAGGGCCUGCCGGCCUCCCCUGUCCUCCACUCUACCCAUGGCAGAGGCCUCCUAGAGCAACCUCCCCCUUGAGAACAGAGGGAGACGUGUCCUCCCCAGGGAGAAAGCCCC